UGGGGAAUAUUGCACAAUGGGCGCAAGCCUGAUGCAGCCAUGCCGCGUGUGUGAAGAAGGCCUUCGGGUUGUAAAGCACUUUCAGCGAGGAGGAAGGUGGUGAGCUUAAUACGCUCAUCAAUUGACGUUACUCGCAGAAGAAGCACCGGCUAACUCCGUGCCAGCAGCCGCGGUAAUACGGAGGGUGCAAGCGUUAAUCGGAAUUACUGGGCGUAAAGCGCACGCAGGCGGUUUGCUAAGUCAGAUGUGAAAUCCCCGGGCUCAACCUGGGAACUGCAUUUGAAACUGGCAAGCUAGAGUCUCGUAGAGGGGGGUAGAAUUCCAGGUGUAGCGGUGAAAUGCGUAGAGAUCUGGAGGAAUACCGGUGGCGAAGGCGGCCCCCUGGACGAAGACUGACGCUCAGGUGCGAAAGCGUGGGGCAGCAAACAGGAUUAGAUAUCCUGGUAGUCCACGCUGUAAACGAUGUCGAUUUUGGAGGUUGUGCCCUUGAGGCGUGGCUUCCGGAGCUAACGCGUUAAAUCGACCGCCUGGGGAGUACGGCC
rnacentral:rRNA from 1 species